rnacentral:rRNA from 1 species
GAGAGAGACAUGCGCGCAUAUCAAUAAGCGGAGGAAAAGAAACUAACAAGGAUUCCCUUAGUAACGGCGAGUGAAGCGGGAAGAGCUCAAAUUUGAAAUCUUCAAGGUUCUACCUUGACGAAUUGUAGUUUAUAGAAGUGUUUUCUGUUAGUGGAGUGGCAAAAGUUCUUUGGAAUAGGACAUCAUAGAGGGUGAGAAUCCCGUAUUUGGUCAUUCCUCCUAGCGUUGUGAUACACUUUCAACGAGUCGGAUUGUUUGGGAAUGCAGUCCAAAAUGGGUGGUAAAUUUCAUCUAAAGCUAAAUAUUGGCGAGAGACCGAUAGCGAACAAGUACCGUGAGGGAAAGAUGAAAAGAACUUUGAAAAGAGAGUUAAACAGUACGUGAAAUUGUCAAAAGGGAAGCGUUUGACACCAGUGUUGUUUUUCCGAAAAUCAAUUACGAAUGUUUUAUUUUUGAGGAGUUAUGACUUCAUCGGCUUGCUCCUUUCUUUACGAAACUUUCUUAAUGCACUUUUCGGUUAACAAGUCAACAUCAAUUUCUUUUGUUGUAAAAGGGUAUGAGGAAGGUGGCUUUCUUUUCGGAGAAAGUGUUUAUAGCCUCGUGCCUCUGCAAUCGGAGAGAUUGAGGUCUGCAGCGUAGAUCCUUCGGGGUUAGAUACAGUUUGUGCUAAGUUAUAGCUUUUCAUAGACAACUUGUUGACUAUGUUUAGUCUUGUAGCUUACUCGCUGAUGCUAUUUUACCUACGCUUAGGAUGUUGAUAGUCACAGCGUGUAC